rfam:Schistosoma rodhaini strain Burundi genome assembly, scaffold: SROB_scaffold0000138
AGCCUUCUGAAUCCGUGCCGAGAUUCCGUCAGACACCAAACCAUCAGGGCUGAUGAUACACGAGAUAAAUGAAGCG